rnacentral:tRNA from 1 species
GUAGAUAUAGUUUAACAUAAAACAUUAGAUUGUGGUUCUAAAGAUGGGGGUUAAACUCCCCUUAUCCACC